AUUGAACGCUGGCGGCAGGCCUAACACAUGCAAGUCGAACGGUAACAGGAAGCAGCUUGCUGCUUCGCUGACGAGUGGCGGACGGGUGAGUAAUGUCUGGGAAGCUGCCUGAUGGAGGGGGAUAACUACUGGAAACGGUAGCUAAUACCGCAUAAUGUCGCAAGACCAAAGAGGGGGACCUUCGGGCCUCUUGCCAUCGGAUGUGCCCAGAUGGGAUUAGCUUGUUGGUGGGGUAACGGCUCACCAAGGCGACGAUCCCUAGCUGGUCUGAGAGGAUGACCAGCCACACUGGGACUGAGACACGGUCCCGACUCCUACGGGAGGCAGCAGUGGGGAAUAUUGCACAAUGGGCGCAAGCCUGAUGCAGCCAUGCCGCGUGUAUGAAGAAGGCCUUCGGGUUGUAAAGUACUUUCAGCGGGGAGGAAGGGAGUAAAGUUAAUACCUUUGCUCAUUGACGUUACCCGCAGAAGAAGCACCGGCUAACUCCGU
rnacentral:rRNA from 1 species